rnacentral:rRNA from 1 species
CACGUAGGGCGCAAGCGUUGUCCGGAAUUAUUGGGCGUAAAGCGCACGUAGGCGGAUCUUUAAGUCAGGGGUGAAAUCCUGGAGCUCAACUCCAGAACUGCCUUUGAUACUGGGGAUCUCGAGUCCGGAAGAGGUGAGUGGAACUCCGAGUGUAGAGGUGAAAUUCGUAGAUAUUCGGAAGAACACCAGUGGCGAAGGCGGCUCACUGGUCCGGUACUGACGCUGAGGUGCGAAAGCGUGGGGAGCAAACAGG